AUGGAGCCAAAAGACAGGGUCAGAGACACGGAGACGGAGGAGGGAUUUGUCUCUGGCUGCCCAACGUCAGGGCUUGGACUGGAAUCUGGGAGCCCCAACGCUACCCCCUGCUCGUUUCUGGAAUAUGGCAGACAAAAACUUCCGGGCCUCAUGUUCUGCCUUUGGGCACGUGCUGAGUCUUCUCUAAUCGGAUGUUGCAGAGGAAGGCUAAUUAUUUCCUGGAGGUCUCUGUUUACUAAAGUCAGCAUCAAGCCAGAUCACAAGUAUCGGGGAAUGUUCAUGGACCAGAAUAAAGCACUGGAUAGCAGGUCCUGUUUGGUUAUUUUCAAAAUGUCUGAUGUGCAUCCUCUGUCAUGUGGUCCUCAAAGAAAACUUGGGAAAUAGGCUGAAGAUGUCAUCCUAGUGUAGACUUUAUGGAUGUGGGGGAUAUUUGAGUUCCAUACAGUCUGACAGCUGCCAAAUGGUGUUUGUAUCUUUGGACCACAAAUAAAAAAACUCUACCCACUGAACCA
rnacentral:lncRNA from 1 species